rnacentral:rRNA from 1 species
UUGACGGGGCCGCACAAGCGGUGGAGCAUGUGGUUUAAUCGAAGCAACGCGAAGAACCUUACCAGGUCUUGACAUCCCGAUGCUAUUUCUAGAGAUAGAAAGUUACUUCGGUACAUCGGUGACAGGUGGUGCAUGGUUGUCGUCAGCUCGUGUCGUGAGAUGUUGGGUUAAGUCCCGCAACGAGCGCAACCCCUAUUGUUAGUUGCCAUCAUUCAGUUGGGCACUCUAGCGAGACUGCCGGUAAUAAACCGGAGGAAGGUGGGAUGACGUCAAAUCAUCAUGCCCCUUAUGACCUGGGCUACACACGUGCUACAAUGGUUGGUACAACGAGUUGCGAGUCGGUGACGGCGAGCUAAUCUCUUAAAGCCAAUCUCAGUUCGGAUUGUAGGCUGCAACUCGCCUACAUGAAGUCGGAAUCGCUAGUAAUCGCGGAUCAGCACGCCGCGGUCGAAUACGUUCCCGGGCCUU